rnacentral:lncRNA from 1 species
ACCCUUUUUGUUUGAAUGUGAUUUUAUGGUCCAUCUUCAACUCACCAGGUCAUAUUUUGACUGUCAACGAUGAGUUGACAAUUAGUGUCACUAGAAGAAUCUAUCAAUGUCGGCUCCUAACCUUUAUUUGUGUUGUUAUCACAGUCACCACUACUUGUGAGUUGCAUGAAUAAGUUGGCAUAUCAAUGCUGGUAGAAGACAACAUUGGUAAUGCAACAUUUGUGAGAGGACUUUAUAUCUAGAAUAGGUAAUUACAAUAUCUGUGGCCACUUUUGUUAUGUCACUUUUUUCUACACGCUUCACAACCGGCUAUUGUUAUGAACCGGCGCUAAAUCUCUUGUUUUCCAUUCAAAAUUGGUCUCCUCAGCCCCUCUUAGUUGUACAUUGUGUUGUUUUCGAAACUAAAUAUAUAGGUUACAUUGGCAUUGUCAUGGUGGCCUAGAGAAAAUUAGAAAGGGGGCUGGAACUAGGGCAACCUCAGGUGGUAUCGGGCUUCAGAGUAAUCUGAGGGACAUGUACAUGAUUAUUGUCCUAAUGCCAAAAUACAUGUUGUGCAGCCUCUAUUUCCACUCCUCUGUUUUCCAUUUUCAAGGAGGUGAAAAGCUACCGUCAGCCUGCUAGCUGAUAUAUAUAGGCCUCAAAGACACACAUGUGUCGACUUACCUGCUGAUUCCUCCUACUCCUAGCAUGGCGCUUGAUUCUAUUUCUAUGCAGAGUUGGAUAUAGUAACCUAGAGAAUGUAUCCAACUAAGGCAUGUCAAAUGUGUGCGCGUGGGUGGCAGUGGUUUAAGGUUCGGGUUGUUAUAUAAGGGGCAUGAGACGUGAGAUUCAAUUGCCUGGUGAUGAUGUAAUAAACAAUAACUAAGAGGUUGUAGUGGAUUAAAGGAAAUCAAUGAAAAUUUGAUAAUUAAAGUUGGUUUGUAUAGGUCGGAGAUGAUUCUGAUUCAUCUAUUAAAGAUACAAAGCAGUGAAGUAGAUGACAUUGGCACGUACUGGAAUACCUCCCCAACAAGCUCACAUUAAUUUUGUUAAUCGAAAUGCAAUACAUGUUUUGUGUAUACAUUACUACACAAAGCUCAUCACCGCAAGAUCCAUGAGUCGGUGGUGGUAUCCAGCAGUGAUGAGAAGCUUCAUUACUGUUGCCUCAGAACCAGUGGUGGAAAUCAGUAAAAAAAAAAUAAAAACCCAAGGUCCAGCAGCUACCGCCAAUCGCGUCCAUGUCCACCACUGCCAUCUAUUUCUGAAUCUAGCUAGGACCACUGUCAUCUCUGCAUGAGAUCACGCAAAUGUAGGCCUGCCAUCGCUUCUGCACCUGCUGCCGCCAUCUCCACAUGCACGGCUGCCGGGCACCAUGCGCUCGCACAGUGCCCACCAGAUCUGCCAUAGAGUGGGGCCGCUCAUGUGGAGAAGGGCUUCUGUUGCGUAGGGACGUCAUGCCCUCAUGCCCCUGCCCUCAACCAGAUCUGCCAUGGAGUGGGGCUGCCCUUGCAAACAAUAAGGGGCAGUCAGCAUCGCCAGGUGCGAAAGGCAUCGGGCAUGAGAAGGGGAAGCUUGUGUCGUGCACGCAUAGGCCAUUGAGUUGUCGCACUAUCGAAGUAAGUAUAUUAGGUGUUGACACAGAAUAUUGCACAAGAGAAGGAGCCCACCCAAACAUGAGUAGCAUUUUGUGGUGAUGUUGAGUUUUUUUUUGUUUUGCUAAUGCUAGCUUCAAUGCAUGUUUAACCAUCUGACCAUUCCACCAGAGAAUGUCCUGAACGUUUUUGUAGGAGCAGGUAAGUGGAAGAAGAGAAGAAAUUACAAGAGAAGUAUUUAUUAGAUAAUAAGGCUGUAUAUGCUAGCAUAUUAUGGUUGAAGAUUCCUCUUUGAUGUUAUGAAAUGCUUGUAAGAUUGGCGCAGCCCCUGGUCGUAUACAACUUAACAACUGAAAAGCCUAUGCUGCCACGGAUACAUAACUUUGUCGUAUACAUCUUUGUUGUUCAUUAGUGUGCAUACCCUCAUAUGCUCAUGGGGAAGCACAUUUUUCCAGGGUU